rnacentral:lncRNA from 1 species
CGCGCCGCGCGGACCCACCGAGCCCGCGUUCAGACGCCCCAGCUCCGCCGACAGGCCGCUCGCGCCGGGUCCUUCCUCUUCCCCAGGUGCAGGCAGAGCCCCCAGAGCCAUGGCCAGCCCUUCCGGCAGCUCCGAAGCCACUGGCAAGCCCCGAGGCAGGGAUGGCGGGCCCAGGAGGGAGGAGGACGACGUCCCUCCCGAAGAGAAGAGGCUGCGGCUGUUGCUGGAGAGGGGAAGCGCGCAGCCCGAGGACUGCGAGGACGGGGAGGACGCGCCGCGGCCAGGCAGGAAGAAGACCGGCACCCAGACAGGUGGCGACGGCAGAGGAGAAGGAAAAUACAUGUACAGCCAACUU